GGUGAGAUGGGCUCCUUUUGGGAACUACCCGACUGACUAACACAAUAAGAUUCUGAUACCUGAUUAUCUUGUCAGCCAAUCAGAACACAUCCCUACUUUGGUCAGUGAGAUUCUAAGAGUAUAACUAAGGAAACUCUGAUAGUCACAUAGAUGGACAGUAACGCAGAAACACACACAAAGAUAGAGGAGUUAGGUUAGGGAGAAGUCCUGAAGGCUGAUCCCUAUAGAACAGAUCCUGUGGGCAUAUUUAAAAGGAACUCUGUAUCACUUGCUGUCUCUGGGCUGGAUAAUCCAAAUAAAUUAGCUUCAUCUCUGGAAAAGAACCGUGGUUGUUUCCUUUUACCUGGUUGUGGUAAAUCUUGGAAUCUCCAGUAUAUUUGUAAUAUACUACAUCUACACUAUACACAACAUUUUGGUGCCGUGACCCGGAUUGAUUUAAUAUAUCGCAACAUUUUGGUGCCGUGACUAGUGACCAGAAGAAGCGUGGAAGAUUUGUGACCCAAGAGUCUGCAGUGAAGCCCUGGAAGGAAGUGUGGAACCCUAGGACUGUGGUCUGGAAAUCUGUGACUGUGAACCUAAAAGGGUUGUUUUAUCUUCCAGGAAAAGAUCUUCAAGCAGAAGGAUAAAUGUGUCUGAAUUUGGUGGUCAUGUUAAACUUGUUUUUUUUUUUUCAUCUCACACUUAAGCAGCUUUUCAAAUUUUUUUAAUGACAGUAGAACAUUGAUAGAUGAGACCUAAAGUUUCCAAGUGGGGGUGUGAAGGAAUUUGCAUGACACAGAGGGAGAGGUGUUGGGUGGUGACACCACAGAAGUUUUUUGACUGGAUGCAGUAGUGCAAUGGGCUGGAUACUGUUUGAUGUCAAAAUAUAUUCUUCAGACUUCUUCUAUAACUUAUGUUCUCCCACAAAUAUAAUAGGUCAAUGGGAUUUUUAAAGGAAAAAAUGAAUGAACUGUUCUGAUGUUUGUCAGUGUCUAAAUCAGUCUUAAGUGGGAAGAUGGAAAUGCAAUGAAAAGAACUCAUUAACAUACAAACAGGACAUUAUUUACAAAGUUUCAGGACUUGAAUGUCUACUUUUAACUAAGUAACAUCCACCUUGUUAUUAUUCAGUGUUUUGUUUUAUUCAGUGUCUUUCUGUAUAUGUUUAUACUUUUCAAUGUAAAAAAAAAAAAAAAAUCCAGAGAAAGUGCAAAUAUUUUAGUGUUGCUAUACAUAUCUGUCUAGAGAUGCUAAACAAGGGCUCAUAUUUAGCAUAUAGUCUAUGAAGGGUGUUGGAAGCUAAAUGUACAGACAUGGGUGGAUUUAUAAAGAACACAUAUACUCAGAAUAUUGAUGUUUUGGCUGCAUAUUUGCAGGGAUAUAUCCGUUAAUAUUCUGACUAGAUCAGGUAAGGGUGAUAUUGUGUCCAAAGCUAGAGUUUGUGGCUAAAUGUGGGUUUUCUGAGAAAAAAAAAAAAAAGAUCAGACUGUAAGAAGACCACGAGCUACAGAUCCAUCCAACACCAGCACCAAUACCAGAUCCUGUGUAUCAGUCACUGCUACAUGGAACUAAAGAAAACCAAACGCUUGGAGGAAAAACCCCAGAUGCUGCAAGAACUUAAUGUGUUGUGUACUGGGUAGGGAAGUGGGGGAGUGAUAGGAGUGGCAAGGAAUCCUGCCUGGAUCACAAAGACCCCAACCCUGGAAAGAAUAAAGUUUGUGGACAGAAAUGUUUCACAGUCUGUUUAAUGACUGGAUUUAAUUCUCUGCAAAGACUAAGUACAACUUAUACAGUAAGCAGGUGAAUAUUUCUGACUGGUGACUGAAAAUAUCUACUUAUGACUGGAAAGGAAAUGAUCGACUCAUUCAGUGUUGCAACUAAUCCUGUACAUACCCACCAGAACCUGCCACUUGCAAUAGAUUUGGGUACUUAUUCAUCCUAAAUGGGAAAUAGAAAGAGCUGGAGAAGUGAUAUGUAACCAGUUCUAUUAGCAUCUCUAGAAAAUUUAAGAGCCUUGGUUUAGCAUUCUCUAUAACACAAUUACAAACUAUCAUGUUAUACAGUUAUAUAAAAAAAAA